rnacentral:rRNA from 1 species
UACGUAGGGUGCAAGCGUUGUCCGGAAUUAUUGGGCGUAAAGAGCUCGUAGGCGGUCUGUCGCGUCUGCUGUGAAAAUCCAGGGCUCAACCCUGGACCUGCAGUGGGUACGGGCAGACUAGAGUGCGGUAGGGGAGAUCGGAAUUCCUGGUGUAGCGGUGAAAUGCGCAGAUAUCAGGAGGAACACCGGUGGCGAAGGCGGCAUCCUGGACCGGCAUUGACGCUGAGGCGCGAAAGCUAGGGUAGCAAACGGG